rnacentral:rRNA from 1 species
UACAGAGGUGGCAAGCGUUGCUCGGAAUUACUGGGCGUAAAGCGCACGUAGGCGGAUUGUUAAGUCGGGGGUGAAAUCCUGGAGCUCAACUCCAGAACUGCCUUCGAUACUGGCGAUCUCGAGUUCGGGAGAGGUGAGUGGAACUGCGAGUGUAGAGGUGAAAUUCGUAGAUAUUCGCAAGAACACCAGUGGCGAAGGCGGCUCACUGGCCCGAUACUGACGCUGAGGUGCGAAAGCGUGGGGAGCAAACAGG